rnacentral:rRNA from 1 species
AAGAAAAGCGGCAGCCUAUACAUGCAAGUCGAACGGGAUUUAAUCUAGAAGCUUGCUUUAGAUUAAUGAGAGUGGCGUACGGGUGCGUAACGCGUGAGCAACCUACCCAUAUCAGGGGGAUAGCCCGGCGAAAGUCGGAUUAACACCGCAUAACAUUAGUAAGUGGCAUCAUUUAUUAAUCAAAUAUUUAUAGGAUAUGGAUGGGCUCGCGUGACAUUAGCUAGUUGGUAAGGUAACGGCUUACCAAGGCUUCGAUGUCUAGGGGCUCUGAGAGGAGAAUCCCCCACACUGGUACUGAGACACGGACCAGACUCCUACGGGAGGCAGCAGUAAGGAAUAUUGGUCAAUGGAGGGAACUCUGAACCAGCCAUGCCGCGUGCAGGACGACUGCCCUAUGGGUUGUAAACUGCUUUUAUACGGGAAUAAACCUAGGUACGUGUACCUAGCUGAAUGUACUGUAAGAAUAAGGAUCGGCUAACUCCGUGCCAGCAGCCGCGGUAAUACGGAGGAUCCAAGCGUUAUCCGGAUUUAUUGGGUUUAAAGGGUGCGUAGGCGGCUAAUUAAGUCAGGAGUGAAAUACGGCAGCUCAACUGUCGCAGUGCUUUUGAUACUGGUUAGCUUGAAUGUGGACGAAGAUGGCGGAAUGAGACAAGUAACGGUGAAAUGCAUAGAUAUGUCUCAGAACUCCUAUUGCAAGGGCAGCUGUCUAGGUCAUUAUUGACGCUGAUGCAAAAAACGUGGGGAUGCAGACAAGAUAAGA